AGUCAGUUAGCUCAGCGGUAGAGCAUUACCUUGACAGGGUAGGGGUCAUCAGUUCAAAUCUGAUACUGACUACCA
rnacentral:tRNA from 1 species